ACCGAAUUCUUCCUAGAUCGAAAAUUUAUAAUAUUAUUUCUUCGAACGUGUGUUUGAAAAAUACUAUUCGGGCCGUCGAUAAAAUCACAAUUUAGAACCCGGCGUUUCAAUCUUCAUUUAUCCAAACCCAGUUACAGCUAAACAGAGUGCCGAACGGGGAUGGCAGACGAACGGUCGAAAUUCUAACCAGGAAAAAUUCGUCGGUACAAAUUCUGAAAAUCGAAGAAUAGUUAAGUGCCAACUUCUUUCGUACAUCUGCUUUUUGGUACCAGAGCGUCUGACCACUUUUUACAUUCUACGCGCCGUCACAUUUACUGAGCGAACGAACCGCUAAAGAGGUGUCUAAACGCCAAAUGUAAACCCUAAUUUUCAAACUUUAUCCGCAUUUUUAUUUUAACCACAUGUACACUAUUAAGAUAACUGUUGGCCGAUGUCUAUUGGUUACAUUUUGCACGUGUAUGUUAAAUAAAAUUCAAUAAUCGCACGUCGCGUUUGACAAAAUGUAUUUUCGUUGUACGUCAAACGGUAGCGGCGAUCACCUGUCCAUAUAAGCAUAAACAGAGACCACCGCCCGCAGUGGCGUUUUCACGAUCAUUUCGUCCGGACAAAAGUCGAACGCCAUCCCGUAUAUUGGCUUUGACCCUCUCGGACGACCGCGGUUUUAUGUGUAUACGGACGGCGCUGCAGUGGCGGCAGAGAUUCCAAUCGUUUUCUCGGGAUAUUUACGAUCGGUUUUUCGACUGUUUCUCGUUCCCUCCCCCUCAUCUUGUCAUUGUCGAGUUAUAUAUAUAUAUAUGUACACCCGCG